rnacentral:rRNA from 1 species
AUUGAACGCUGGCGGCAUGCCUUACACAUGCGAGUCGAACGGUAACAGGUCUUCGGACGCUGACGAGUGGCGAACGGGUGAGUAAUGCAUCGGAACGUGCCCAGUCGUGGGGGAUAACUGCUCGAAAGAGCAGCUAAUACCGCAUACGACCUGAGGGUGAAAGCGGGGGACCGUAAGGCCUCGCGCGAUUGGAGCGGCCGAUGUCAGAUUAGCUAGUUGGUGGGGUAAAGGCCUACCAAGGCAACGAUCUGUAGUUGGUCUGAGAGGACGACCAGCCACACUGGGACUGAGACACGGCCCAGACUCCUACGGGAGGCAGCAGUGGGGAAUUUUGGACAAUGGGCGCAAGCCUGAUCCAGCAAUGCCGCGUGCAGGAAGAAGGCCUUCGGGUUGUAAACUGCUUUUGUCAGGGAAGAAAUCUUCUGGGCUAAUACCCCGGGAGGAUGACGGUACCUGAAGAAUAAGCACCGGCUAACUACGUG